rnacentral:lncRNA from 1 species
GGAUAGUCCUUACGUUGUCAGACGCACGGUGUAGGAUGUCAUGACUAGUCCAACUCAUUUGUGGUGCGUGGCUGAAAAGGUCUGCCAAGGGCAUGGAUUUGCACUAGAUGAUUCUCGCAUGCCAGCGGAGCCUGAAAAACGUGAACUGGUUGAUGGGGCUAGGCCUAGGUGGAAUAUGGCGAACCAAAUACCUCCAAAGGGUGGGAAUCAAGACUGGUAACGGGCGUUCAUGGCCGCCACUAUAGGGACGUGUCAAUUCAAGACCGGUAACAGGCGUU